AUUGAACGCUGGCGGCAGGCCUAACACAUGCAAGUCGAGCGAGCGUCGGACGGGUGAGUAAUGUAUCUGGAUCUGCCCGCUAUAGGGGGAUAACUACUCUAAACGGUAUCUAAUACCCCAUACUAUCUGAUAAACCCACAUGGGAGUAUCUAUUAGGUGUGGUAAUGGCUCACCUAGGCGACGAUCCCUAGCUGGUCUGAGAGGAUGAUCAGCCACACUGGGACUGAGACACGGCCCAGACUCCUACGGGAGGCAGCAGUGGGGAAUAUUGCACAAUGGGCGCAAGCCUGAUGCAGCCAUGCCGCGUGUAUGAAGAAGGCCUUCGGGUUGUAAAGUACUUUUGGCAGAGAAGCGGUAUCUGCAGAAUAAGCACCGGCUAACUACGUGCCAGCAGCCGCGGUAAUUC
rnacentral:rRNA from 1 species